CAAUAGCGUAUAUUAAAGUUGUUGCAGUUAAAAAGCUCGUAGUUGGAUUUGUGGCGUACGGUGUGUUCCGGGCACUUGUUGUCUGAGUAACCUGCUGUUGCCAUCCUUGGGUGGAACCUGUGUGGCAUUAGGUUUUCGUGCAGGGGAUGCCCAUCAUUUACUGUGAAAAAAUUAGAGUGUUCAAAGCAGGCUUAUGCCGUUGAAUAUAUUAGCAUGGAAUAAUGAGAUAGGACUUUUUUGCUAUUUUGUUGGUUUGCGCAAAGAGGUAAUGAUUAAUAGGGACAGUUGGGGGUAUUCGUAUUCCAUUGUCAGAGGUGAAAUUCUUGGAUUUUUGGAAGACGAACUACUGCGAAAGCAUUUACCAAGGAUGUUUUCAUUAA
rnacentral:rRNA from 1 species